rnacentral:ncRNA from 1 species
UUCUUCAGGGUCGGGUGCAAUUCCCUACCGGCGGUGAAGCUGUCAGAGGAAGUCUGGCAGAUGAGUCCGCGACCCGCGUUGGCGGCUGAUCCGGUUAGAAUCCGGAACCGACAGUACAGUCUGGAUGAAAGAAGAA